rnacentral:rRNA from 1 species
AUUGAACGCUGGCGGCAGGCUUAACACAUGCAAGUCGAGCGAGCGGCGGACUGGUGAGUAAUGUCUGGGAAAAUGCCUGAUUGAGGGGGCUAACUCCUGGAAACGGUAGCUAAUACCGCAUAACAUCAGCUGUGCCCAGAUGGGAUUAGCUAGUAGGUGGGGUAAUGGCUCACCUAGGCGACGAUCCCUAACUGGUCUGCGAGAAUGACCAGCCACACUGGAACUGAGACACGGUCCAGACUCCUACGGGAGGGAGCAGGGGGGAAUAUGGCACAAUGGGCGCAAGCCUGAUGCAGCCAUGCCGCGUGUGUGAAGAAGGCCUUCGGGUUGUAAAGCACUUUCAGCGAGGAGGCGUUACUCGCAGAAGAAGCACCGGCUAACUCCGUGCCAGCAGCCGCGGUAAUUC